AGAGUUUGAUCCUGGCUCAGGACGAACGCUUGCGGCGUGCCUAAGAAAUGCAAGUCGAGCGAGGUUAGGAAGCUUGCUUCCAAAGCCUAGCGGCGAACGGUCGCGUAACACGUAAGCAACCUGCCCCUAAGCGGGGGAUAGCCCUCCGAAAGGAGGAUUAAUACCGCAUGUGAACACUGAUCUGCAUGGGUUGGUGUUUAAAGUGGAAACACACUUAGGGAUGGGCUUGCGGCCUAUCAGCUAGUUGGUGGGGUAACGGCCUACCAAGGCGACGACGGGUAGCUGGUCUGAGAGGAUGGUCAGCCGGACUGGGACUGAGAUACGGCCCAGACUCCUACGGGGGGCAGCAAUUAGGAAUCUUGCGCAAUGGGCGAAAGCCUGACGCAGCGACGCCGCGUGAAGGAUGACGGCCUUCGGGUUGUAAACUUCUUUUAUCAGGGAAGAAGGAUGUGACGGUACCUGAUGAAUAAGCCCCGGCUAACUACGUGCCAGCAGCCGCGGUAAUACGUAGGGGGCGAGCGUUGUCCGAAUUUACUGGGCGUAAAGCGCGCGUAGGCGGACCUUUAAGUUGAUGGUGAAAUCCCGAGGCUCAACCUCGGAACUGCCUUCAAAACUGGAGGACUUGAGGUAUGGAGAGGGAAGUGGAAUUCCUGGUGUAGCGGUGAAAUGCGUAGAUAUCAGGAGGAACACCCGUGGCGAAGGCGGCUUCCUGGCCAUAUCCUGACGCUGAGGUGCGAAAGCUAGGGUAGCGAACGGGAUUAGAUACCCCGGUAGUCCUAGCCGUAAACGAUGGAUAUUAGGUGUUAGAGGUAUCGACCCCUCUAGUGCCGCAGCUAACGCAAUAAGUAUCCCGCCUGGGGAGUACGGGCCGCAAGGUUGAAACUCAAAUGAAAUUGACGG
rnacentral:rRNA from 1 species